UGUAAGGUCGCUUUUCACAAAGUUCAUCCUGU
rnacentral:piRNA from 1 species